GAAAUUGCUUCUUUGGUACCCUUAAUUAUGGCAAUCCCACAAGUGAAUUAUAUACUAAAUGGCUACAAGAGGUAGCUGAGGCCUGUAAUUUAAUUCUUCCGAAUGAAAUUCGGAACGAAAAUUACCUAAUUUCGUCUGAAAACUAAUGGACACUGUCGAAAUUUUGAGCUGGCACUAGGUCUACAUUACAGGACAUUCAGAAACGCGAGAAUAUAGAGGAACGAG